rnacentral:rRNA from 1 species
CUUGCUUCUCUUGAGAGCGGCGGACGGGUGAGUAAUGCCUAGGAAUCUGCCUGGUAGUGGGGGAUAACGUUCGGAAACGGACGCUAAUACCGCAUACGUCCUACGGGAGAAAGCAGGGGACCUUCGGGCCUUGCGCUAUCAGAUGAGCCUAGGUCGGAUUAGCUAGUUGGUGGGGUAAUGGCUCACCAAGGCGACGAUCCGUAACUGGUCUGAGAGGAUGAUCAGUCACACUGGAACUGAGACACGGUCCAGACUCCUACGGGAGGCAGCAGUGGGGAAUAUUGGACAAUGGGCGAAAGCCUGAUCCAGCCAUGCCGCGUGUGUGAAGAAGGUCUUCGGAUUGUAAAGCACUUUAAGUUGGGAGGAAGGGUUGUAGAUUAAUACUCUGCAAUUUUGACGUUACCGACAGAAUAAGCACCGGCUAACUCUGUGCCAGCAGCCGCGGUAAUACAGAGGGUGCAAGCGUUAAUCGGAAUUACUGGGCGUAAAGCGCGCGUAGGUGGUUUGUUAAGUUGGAUGUGAAAUCCCCGGGCUCAACCUGGGAACUGCAUUCAAAACUGACUGACUAGAGUAUGGUAGAGGGUGGUGGAAUUUCCUGUGUAGCGGUGAAAUGCGUAGAUAUAGGAAGGAACACCAGUGG